AGGACGAACGCUGGCGGCGUGCUUAACACAUGCAAGUCGAGCGGUAAGGCCUUUCGGGGUACACGAGCGGCGAACGGGUGAGUAACACGUGGGUGAUCUGCCCUGCACUUCGGGAUAAGCCUGGGAAACUGGGUCUAAUACCGGAUACGAGCUUCCACCGCAUGGUGAGGAGCUGGAAAGAAUUUCGGUCUGGGAUGGACUCGCGGCCUAUCAGCUUGUGGUGAGGUAAUGGCUCACCAAGGCGACGACGGGUAGCCGGCCUGAGAGGGUGACCGGCCACACUGGGACUGAGACACGGCCCAGACUCCUACGGGAGGCAGCAGUGGGAAUAUUGCACAAUGGGCGCAAGCCUGAUGCAGCAACGCCGCGUGAGGGACGAAGGCCUUCGGGUUGUAAACCUCGUUUAGUAGGUAAGAAGACGAGGUGUUUAGUUCUAC
rnacentral:rRNA from 1 species